AGUGAACGCUGGCGGUAGGCCUAACACAUGCAAGUCGAACGGCAGCACAGUAAGAGCUUGCUCUUACGGGUGGCGAGUGGCGGACGGGUGAGGAAUACAUCGGAAUCUACUUUUUCGUGGGGGAUAACGUAGGGAAACUUACGCUAAUACCGCAUACGACCUACGGGUGAAAGCAGGGGAUCUUCGGACCUUGCGCGAUUGAAUGAGCCGAUGUCGGAUUAGCUAGUUGGCGGGGUAAAGGCCCACCAAGGCGACGAUCCGUAGCUGGUCUGAGAGGAUGAUCAGCCACACUGGAACUGAGACACGGUCCAGACUCCUACGGGGGGCAGCAGUGGGGAAUAUUGGACAAUGGGCGCAAGCCUGAUCCAGCCAUACCGCGUGGGUGAAGAAGGCCUUCGGGUUGUAAAGCCCUUUUGUUGGGAAAGAAAAGCAGCAGGUUAAUACCCCGCUGUUCUGACGGUACCCAAAGAAUAAGCACCGGCUAACUUUG
rnacentral:rRNA from 1 species